rnacentral:rRNA from 1 species
GCGCACCAGGCGCAAAAAACUUUACAAUGUGCGAAAAGCACGAUAAGGGAACUCUGAGUGCCUCCUAAGGAGGCUGUUCAGGUGUCUAAAAAGCACCUGAAGGAAGGGCUGGGUAAGACCGGUGCCAGCCGCCGCGGUAACACCGGCAGCCCAAGUGGUAGCCACGUUUAUUGGGGUCUAAAGCGUCCGUAGCCGGCUGGGUAAGUUCCUUGGGAAAUUUGG